UACGUAGGGACCAAGCGUUGUUCGGAUUUACUGGGCGUAAAGGGCGCGUAGGCGGCGCGGUAAGUCACUUGUGAAAUCUCUGAGCUUAACUCAGAACGGCCAAGUGAUACUGCAGUGCUAGAGUGUGGAAGGGGCAAUCGGAAUUCUUGGUGUAGCGGUGAAAUGCGUAGAUAUCAAAGAGGAACACCUGAGGUGAAGACGGGUUGCUGGGCCAACACGUGACGCUGGAUGACGCGAAAGCCAGGGGAGCGAACGGG
rnacentral:rRNA from 1 species